UACGAAGGGGGCUAGCGUUGCUCGGAAUUACUGGGCGUAAAGCGCACGUAGGCGGUCUUUUCAGUCGGUGGUGAAAUCCUGGAGCUCAACUCCAGAACUGCCUUCGAUACUGGAAGACUUGAGUCCGGGAGAGGUGAGUGGAACUGCGAGUGUAGAGGUGAAAUUCGUAGAUAUUCGCAAGAACACCAGUGGCGAAGGCGGCUCACUGGCCCGGUACUGACGCUGAGGUGCGAAAGCGUGGGGAGCAAACAGG
rnacentral:rRNA from 1 species